GCCAUCGUGGCGCAAUGGUAGCGCAUCACCUUCCUACGCAAUGUAGAAUCAGGUGGGGGUUGGGGGUUCGAGCCCCCCCGGUGGUA